ACAACCAAAUCAUUUUUCUGGGAACCUGGGGAUCAUCUUGGCUCUGCCUAUCACAGCCAGUGCCUGCACGCCCUGCUCCGGCAUCCCCCUAGUGCCUGAGCACGCCAUCCUCCUGUACCCUACUCCAUUACGAUGUGAUUCCUUCGUGUUAAAACUGUGUACCUUGCCCUACUAACUUUGGAUCUGGCCAAUGGAAUAUAAGGAGAUUUGACCUGUGCUGCUGUGAUUAACAGACAUCAGAGGCAUGGAAGAAAAACAACAGUAACUAGAUGAAGCAAGGACCACCCUUCUGGACAACAAAGGGAGAGGAAUGAAAGUCUGACCUAGGAAAAGACGGAGUCUCGCUGUGUUGUCCAGGAUGGAGUGCAGUGGUGCUUUCUCAGCUCACUGCAACCUCUGCCUCCCAGUUCAAGCAAUUCUUCUGACUCAGCCUCCUGAGUAGCUGGGAUUACAGGCACCUGCUACCACACCAUGCUAAUUUUUGUAUUUUUAGUAGAGACGGGGUUUCUCCAUGUUGGCCUGGCUGGUCUCGAACUCCUGACCUCAGGUGAUCCACCUGCCUCGGCCUCUCAAAAUGCUAGGAUUACAGGUGUGAGCCACCACACCUGGCCAACUUAUCCUUUUUUUAACAUCUAGUUUUCUGUGAGUGUUUUCUAAUGUGCACUGUAGACGGACAUAGUGGUAUGUGAUUACUAUUCAUAGAUAAAUAAUAAUUUGUUUAUUAUUGUGUAAUAAACAUUGUGUGAUAAAGAAUUUGGCUGACCUUUGUU
rnacentral:lncRNA from 1 species